rnacentral:rRNA from 1 species
UACGUAGGGGGCAAGCGUUGUCCGGAUUUAUUGGGCGUAAAGAGCGUGUAGGCGGCCAAGCAGGUCCGCUGUGAAAACUCGAGGCUCAACCUCGAGACGUCGGUGGAAACCGUUUGGCUAGAGUCCGGAAGAGGAGAGUGGAAUUCCCGGUGUAGCGGUGGAAUGCGUAGAUAUCGGGGGAAUACCAGUGGCGAAAGCGGCACCCUAGCGUUAGCCUGACGCUCAUGUGCGAAAGCGUGGGGAGCGAACGGG